AUCUAGACAAAAGCCGCACCCGCCCCAUUUGCGAAACCUAAAGCCUCCACAAAACCCCCCUCUUUGCUUGAAGAAGGGGGGAAAAAUUAAUAAGUUAUUGCAAAUAAGUCCAUCUAUCAAUCUCUCCUCUUCAAUUUACACCUGUAUCUUCAUAAUUCGGAGCUUAGUCAUCAAUGGCGGACUCAGAUUCGGAUCCCAAAGAGGCCCCAAAUGAAGCGGAGAAGACGGCGGUGGAGCCCAUAAGGAUGCCGACGAUGGAAGAGAUCCGAGGCCAAGACAUUUGGAACAAUUGCGCUGUUAGAAGCGUCGUUAGUGGAGUCAUGGGAGGUGGACUUGGUUUGUUUAUGGGUCUAUUUCUUGGGGCUCUGGAUAAUCCUUUGAUGCAAGAGGAAAUGAGUGCAAAGCAGCAAUUUAUAUACACUGCAAAGCAGAUGGGAAGAAGAAGCUGGGGUUCUGCCAAGGCUUUUGCAAUUAUGGGCCUCACAUUCUCAGCUGCUGAAUGCAUUGUCGAGAAGGCACGUGCAAAACAUGAUAUGACAAAUACAGUUGUUGCCGGUUGUGUCACAGGAGGAGCUAUGUCUGCUAGAGUCUUUUUCUUUUGAGGAAGCUUUCAAGACAAGAUCUUGGGAUUUUGAUGGAUAUUUUGGAAUAUCGAUUGAGGUGGCCCGAAGGCUGCAUGUGUCGGAUGCGCUGGCUUUGCUACAUUCUCAGUUCUAAUUGAGAAGUUCUUAGAUAGACAUACCUAAUAGAUCAAUGACUCUCAAACUGAUUCAUGUACAACCGAGAAAUUUUUUGUUAAUCUCGGGUAACUUUACAGAGGUGAAGUAUCAGUUUGCACCCUCUUUGUGCAAAAGCAGCCUAUGAAUGUUAUAAGUUGCUAUGUAAUUUUAGUUUGUGUAACUUUUUUACUUUAGUGUUGGAUGACUUAAGGAGUCAAUGCUCCUUGGACCGUGGGUUUGCUCACAAUAUGUAGUAAUUUUGUAUUCCUUAUCGUUGAAGAGGCGGAUGGGGUGGUUGAGCUCAUUUAUAAUAGUGCAAGUUUUUUUUUGUAUAAAUACCUAAUUUUCGUAUUAAUGACGCCUUGU